UACGUAGGGGGCAAGCGUUGUCCGGAUUUAUUGGGCGUAAAGAGCGUGUAGGCGGCCAUGCAGGUCCGUUGUGAAAACUGGAGGCUCAACCUCCAGACGCCGGUGGAAACCGCAUGGCUAGAGUCCGGAAGAGGAGAGUGGAAUUCCUGGUGUAGCGGUGAAAUGCGCAGAUAUCAGGAAGAACACCCGUGGCGAAGGCGGCUCUCUGGGACGGUACUGACGCUGAGACGCGAAAGCGUGGGGAGCGAACAGG
rnacentral:rRNA from 1 species